AAACAUGGGGCAGGGAGAAGCCAUGAUCAUGAGGGUGGUUCUCCUGGGGGAGCUUGUCCAUUGCACUUGGGCCAUUCUGAUGCCUGCUAUUUGAACUCAAUGGCACACUUUCUCUCAGUGGGGAAUUG
rnacentral:snRNA from 1 species